GUUUUCGACAGCCUGUGAAAAAAAAAACAAAACAUCAACCGCUUGAACGUUUUUGCGGUCGAUUUUACAAAUCCUAGUAGAAUUAUGGAAUUAAUAAGUUUUAAAGUUAUUUGAAUACAUCCUUGUGGACGAUUACGUGACAAACAGUAUUUUGCUGAAUUCCUCAUCUCAAAUGCAACGCAGGUACCACCGUUGGAAGCAAACAAAUUGCUGCAAAACCAGCCUGCAAAAUGACUUGUGUUGUCGUCUGCAUGAGCUCUGUCAGCAACAAAAUUGAUCGUUGAUAGGAAAAAUGGAAUUGGACCAACUAAAACCAGUGGCAGGACUGGUCCAGCUGGAAACCUUUUUGUGAUGUAUUCUGCCGGAUGUCGUUCAAAGCUCAUCUCGCCACACGGCUCAGCUGGAAGUUUUAUGCGCGCAUCGACCUGAGAUGUAUGGCAAGAGUUUUACAUGUCAGCCCGGCCCGGCGGAAGGUUUUCUCUCGAACGAAGAGCUACAGUGAUGGUGCAUCUGGUGCAUGAUAAAUUUAGAAUUAUGUGAUGAAUAAUAGUGUUUAUGAUGUUUUUAUCACUACAGAGUGGUGAAAAUAGUGUAAUAUAAAUUAAAAUAGUGACAGUGUCGGUCAGUUAAUUACUGCUACUUUUAUAUAUUGCUACGUUCGGAACGUGUGACAGAUUAUUAGGUUCAGGUUGCAGUUAUGUACUUAAUAUGAUCGGAUAAUUAAAUUGUGAUAGAUAUUUUUUCGACCUAUA